CUUUACAACGUAUCGUUAGGUGGCUUCAAGUGAGUUCAAUUUUCCCCGAGUUGCCUCAGGUCAGACGGCGCCUGUUUUUUUCCGACAGUGUAUCUUAACGUUAACAUAAUCGCUCCGGUAGGUGCUAUUCUUUGUACGAUAAAUUACGAUAAUUGUUUUGUUUUGUUUUUUUCAAAAUAUGUGGUUUUGUAUACAGACGUGGACUUCGAGUUGGCUCAGGCGGUGCCCGUUUAGUCCGUCCGUGAUCACAGGGUGGCGGCAAGUUAGUUCAAUUUUCCUGCUUCGUCUUCGAGUUGCAUCGGGUCAGACGGCGCCAGUUUUUUUCCGACAGUGCAAUCGCUCUGGCAGGUACUGUUCUAUGCAGGCUGUGAUAAUAAUUUACAAUAAGAUUUGAAUGGUAUUUGUUCACAAUAUGUGCUUCUGUACAACUGCUUAACGUUAGGUGGCUCCAAGUUGGUCCGUUCAACUUCUGCUUCGUAUUCAAGCUGCCUUAAGUCAUACGAUGCCAGUUUUUUACCGACAGUGUCAUGACUUAGGGUGAUGCAGUGCAAGAUAUGCAAAUUUGAACACCCUGCUCAGGAGGUCCUUUUGAAACAUUACCGAUUGCGCCACUACCAGGGAAGACACCGCCAACUACCCUGCCUCUACACCGAAAACCACUGGAGCGUUGAAGUCUCACCUUUCAAUUUCACACAAGCGCUUAUCUUCACGUGAGAGUCACUUAACAUUUAAUUGUGAAUUGUGUGACUUUAAGGAAAUUUGUAAAACACCUGAUUACUUCAAACAUAUUAGGAGCCAUUUAAAAAAUCAUUAAACUGUAAGGUGCCCUUUUAGCCAGUGGGAUUUUAAAACAAAUCUGAUUUCAUCAUUCAGUGGUCACAGAAG